rnacentral:ncRNA from 2 species
AUACAAGAACUGGGGUACCUUUUUGGUUGAGAUAAGACCCAUUGAACCUGUUGGUUAAUACCAGCGUAGGGAGUUCGCACAAGCUUUUU